GCGAGACACAGAGAUGGGUGGAGCUGACAAGGUCACUGGAUGCCCCAUGUCCUGCCUCAUCCUGGAAAGGACAGACACAGGAGCCUGGUCUGCUGGCAGGCCCCCUGCUGGGCUGGCACAGGAAGACCUCUGCCAACUUGAGGUCUACUACAGUGGAGCUGAAUUCAAGGUCUGGUCACUUGAUGUGCCACGUGAUGCAACCCAACCCAACCACACCAAGCCAUGGGUCUCUAGAUGGGCCAUCAUCAUCCCAGCAGAAAAGGUGAUAGAUGCCUGUUCCAGAAGUACCUUGUCUAUCGGAAACAUGUGUUCCCAACUGACCUAGAAGAGAUGAAAGGAACCUAUUAUGUGGAAGAAAUAGAGAA